rnacentral:misc_RNA from 1 species
GGUUAAAACCUGAAGACCAAAUAAAAAAUUUUCCUUAAUCGAAUAAAACCAUAUUUAUCUUUUCAUUUAAACUUGGUAAAACAUUAGACGAAAUGACUUCUAAUUUUGAUUGAAAUAUAAAUAAAGAAUUAAAUUAUUUAAUAUUCAAAAUAUAAAAAUUAAAUUAUAACAUCUAUUAAAACUCAAGGAAUAAAAAAUAAAUUUUACCCAAAAUAAAAUAAUCAAAAGAAUAAUGAAACUCUUUUGCUUCUCAAUUGUCAUUAAGGGAAACUUUAGGUUAAAACAAAAAAUUAAGGGAAACUUUAUGAAUGGGUCCGCUGUGACAGUGGCAACAUCUUAAUGCCUAUAAAUCGCAAUGGCCCAUAGGGUAAGGGGUGAGCACUAGUUGAUUAAAUUGAAAAAUCG